UUUAUCACUUUCAUCCAUCGUAUUAGUAGCAUUGCUUCUGACUACCUCAUCUUCUUCCCAGUUAAGUGAAAAACGUGGUUUUACUGACCAAGGAUGUAUGGGAACUUACGACAGUACCAAGCUUGCUCGGCUAAAUCGAAUCUGUGAAGAAUGUUAUAAUAUUUACAGGGUUCCGCUGAUUCAUAAAUCCUGCAGAUCGAACUGCUUCAAGAACGACAUGUUCACCGACUGUAUCAAGGUUCUACUGUUGGAGUCCGAGGAACAACAACUAAACAGUAUGGUGGGAGACUUAUUUGGAAAGAGGAAGUAAUAUACUUUGUUGAACUGGAAUAUGUUGACACGGAAACUUGUAAUAAGAACCAAACUUAUGUUGAAUUCAAUAAAUAAAGGAAAUAUAAAUAAUUA
rnacentral:lncRNA from 1 species